rnacentral:rRNA from 1 species
CCUACGGGAGGCAGCAGUGAGGAAUAUUGGUCAAUGGUCGCGAGCCUGAACCAGCCAAGCCGCGUGAAGGAUGAAUGCCCUCCGGAUCGUAAACUUCUUUUAUAAGGGAAUAAAGAGUGGCACUCGUCCCCUUAUGUGUGUACUUUAUGAAUAAGCAUCGGCUAACUCCGUGCCAGCAGCCGCGGUAAUACGGAGGAUCCGCGCGUUAUCCGGAUUUAUUGGGUUUAAAGGUAGCGGAGAUGGGUUGUUAAUUCAGGUGUGAAAGUUCGUGGCUCAACCCGCGGAUUGCAAUUGAGACUGGCAGUCUUGAGUACAGGAGAGGGAGGCGGAAUGCGUGGUGUAGCGGUGAAAUGCUUAGAUAUCACGAAGAACUCCGAUUGCGAAGGCAGCCUACUAGACAGCCACUGACGUUGAGGCACGAAAGUGUGGGUAGCGAACAGGAUUAGAGACCCGUGUAGUC